UGGGCACUUACCUCCAUUUCUGACUGCUCUAUGGGAGUGUUUCAGGAGAUUAUUUCUGCAUCACAAGCUCCUUGUGAGGCAGGCAGAGCCCAGAUUAUAAUCGAGAGACAUUUCUUUUCCUCUAGCACUUGGAACAUAGGCCAGGACAAGGAUCUUCCAGGAGACUUUCUCCAAAUAACAAGGUUUCUCAUCUCCUUGGUCAACAUGGACAGCCCCAAACCAUCACUGGUUACAGAACACACAUCGAAUAUGGAAAGACACAAGCACAGAGCACUGUCGGUCUUGCUUCCGCAUGACUACAUCCGGG
rnacentral:lncRNA from 1 species